rnacentral:snoRNA from 2 species
AUCCUUUGUGGUUCAUAAGCAUGAUGAUUGAGUGUUCACGUGCAUGUGUGAGAUGUGCCACCCUGAGACCUCGUUACGAAGUCAACGUAUUACCCAUUUGAGA